rnacentral:rRNA from 1 species
GAUGAACGCUGGCGGCGUGCCUAAUACAUGCAAGUCGAGCGAACGGACGAGAAGCUUGCUUCUCUGAUGUUAGCGGCGGACGGGUGAGUAACACGUGGAUAACCUACCUAUAAGACUGGGAUAACUUCGGGAAACCGGAGCUAAUACCGGAUGAUAUUUUGAACCGCAUGGUUCAAAAGUGAAAGACGGUCUUGCUGUCACUUAUAGCUGGAUCCGAGCUGCAUUAGCUAGUUGGUAAGGUAACGGCCUACCAAGGCAACGAUGCAUAGCCGACCUGUGAGGGGGGUAGACCGCACUGGAAGGGAGACAGGGUCCAGACUCCUGCGGGAGGCAGCAGUAGGGAACCGUACGCAAUGGGCGAAAGCCUGACGGAGCGACGCCGCGUGAGUGAUGAAGGUCUUCGGAUCGUAAAACUCUGUUAUGAGGGAAGAACAUAUGUGUAAGUAACUGUGCACAUCGUGACGGUACCUAAUCAGAAAGCCACGGCUAACUACGUG